AUUGAACGCUGGCGGCAUGCUUUACACAUGCAAGUCGAACGGUAACAGGCCGCAAGGUGCUGACGAGUGGCGAACGGGUGAGUAAUGCAUCGGAACGUGCCCAGCCGUGGGGGAUAACGCAGCGAAAGCUGUGCUAAUACCGCAUACGAUCUAUGGAUGAAAGCGGGGGACCGUAAGGCCUCGCGCGAUUGGAGCGGCCGAUGUCAGAUUAGCUAGUUGGUGGGGUAAAGGCCCACCAAGGCGACGAUCUGUAGCUGGUCUGAGAGGACGACCAGCCACACUGGGACUGAGAAACGGCCCAGACUCCUACGGGAGGCAGCAGUGGGGAAUUUUGGACAAUGGGCGCAAGCCUGAUCCAGCAAUGCCGCGUGCAGGAAGAAGGCCUUCGGGUUGUAAACUGCUUUUGUACGGAACGAAACGGUCUUGGUUAAUACCCUGGGCUAAUGACGGUACCGUAAGAAUAAGCACCGGCUAACUACGUGCCAGCCGCCGCUGUAA
rnacentral:rRNA from 1 species